CGGGUAGAGUAAUGCGUGACCAACCUGCCCCAUGCUCCAGAAUAGCUCUUGGAAACGGGUGGUAAUGCUGGAUGCUCCAACUUGACGCAUGUCUUGUUGGGAAAGUGUUUAGUGGCAUGGGAUGGGGUCGCGUCCUAUCAGCUUGUAGGCGGGGUAAUGGCCCACCUAGGCUUCGACGGGUAGCCGGCCUGAGAGGGCGGACGGCCACAUUGGGACUGAGAUACGGCCCAGACUCCUACGGGAGGCAGCAGCC
rnacentral:rRNA from 1 species